AGAAAAUCACGAAACAGGUGGGACAACUCGGCCCCGUUCUGGAGGUGAGGCCGGCUUGCUUGUUCUUGGAGCCGAGUUGUGCCGAUCUCUAAACCUGGGCGUGGCUAGCCUUCGCCAAAGUCCUACACCGGGCCGAGCUCGCUCACGGAAAUUUCCAUCAAACUUUGAAAGGCAUCAGUUCAACUUCAGGCUCAGCUUAGUAAAGAUACAUCUUGCAUCUUCUCUCCAUAGUAGUACACCCAGUUGUUGUGUGUCUGGACAGGUUGUGUGUCCGGACGAUCAAUUUUAGAAAGUCAUUUGGAAAAAUUUGAAAGCGAAGUUUCAUAAAUUUUUAGUACAAAAUGUUAGGAAAUAUAAAGAACAAAAUAGAAGAUGAUUACAAGUAUUGAAUUCAUAUUUUUAGUGUAAUCCAAAGACAAAAAAAGAAGGCUUCAAAAAUAUAAAGUGUCCGGACACCAACCCCCCAUCCUACUCUACUGAACUGUUUUGUCAAGUGUACAUUAAUUUCCAGUUUAGCUAGCCUUUUUGGAGCUGCAAGAGGAAUUAUCGCAUCAAGUAUCAAUUGUUUGCAAUUAAAAGGACAGUUUCAGAAGACAAAAUGAUCUACUCUUCGAUGGUAGUUGUAUGCCUGGUGGUCAUAUGGCUUGUCUCGGGGUUAAUGAUGUGGAAAAGUGAGUAUCAACAAUCAAAGAUUGACCCCUUUAUUGAACAAAUCCUUCCAAAUCUAUACAAAUUAAUAUGAAUUGAUAGAGAGUUAAAAAAUAACCUUUUUACAAAAAAAUUCAUUGAAAUUGAAUAUGGAUUAGAACGUCAUGACAUUUGAAAAGUUUAAUUUCAUAAAAACGGUCCUGGAUAAUAUACAGAUGAGCUGUGUCACACAUUAACCUUUUUCGUAAGUGCCAAUACAUCAAUGUUUAUUUUUGUUGAUGUUAUAUUCAAAGAAGUCCUUUUUUUUAAUGUAACAUAUAAAAAUAUUAUUUUUUUUUUUACGUUGGAAUCAUGUUUUAGUAUUGUAUUUUUUCAUAUUUCAUAAUAUACUAGUAAUCAAAUAACCAAAGAAAUAAAUAAUAGUCUGUGAAAAGCAUCAACUCAUUUAAACAUUACCUCAUAUAAAAUGAGUUACCCCCAAUUUUUCCUUUAAAAAAAUGGGACUUAAAUUCCUGAUAAUCCUAUUCAAAAUGUGACAACUAAAGAAUAAAAAAUCAAAAUGCUUGUUAAAAUAAGAAUGUGAUAUACAAAGAUCAUAUUUCUGCUCCUUGUGAAUAUAUGUAGUUUUAAGCAUGAAAAUAUUUAUAUCUACCGUAAUACUUAUUUGUAAUAAUUAUUUGUGUCAAAAUAGUUUUCCUGAAUAUGAUGAUGUUUUGUUUAUAAUUAUAUCUUCUUUGCCACUAAUGUACAUGUAGAAUUAUCGUAAAUAAGUACCCCAAGUCCCCGAAGAUUGAAAAGCUGUUAAACGCAAUAUGGAGUUUAGAUCACAUUUAUGAAUGGAAGACCUGCUUGCAUGUGACUUCACAAAUUAAAGAUUUUUCAUAACGCUCUUCCUUUUUGCUUGAUUUUCAUCAAUCCUUUAAAAAUAUUUUGUUGAAUUGACCUAGUCCACCUACACUUAAAAUAUCAAAUAGAUUAAUUAAUUUGGCAGGAUGACCAUUAUAAUGCUGGGUCAUCUAGCCUUUUUUUUUGCAAACCGCUGUUCUGCUUUGUGUGUGGAUGCCUGCAUAUACUGCAUUUUCUUCUUUGUGAUGGGUUCUUUUCAAGUUUAUACCUUGUUCUUGAUUUUUAAAUUUGGACUUUAAAAAAAAUCUUCAUUUAGAAAAUAACACUCUAUUUGAUGUAUUGUUUUUCUUUAACUUUAAAGGGACUUAUUAAUUUAUUUUAACUGUUUUAUUCUUUCCCCAUUAUUAAAGAGAAAAAGUUUUAUGCUUUUGAGUAAACAGGGUUAGAUCCUAUCGAAGGGAAUGUGAUUAUUUAGUGCCUGAAUCAUGAGCAUUAAUGUCUCCCCAAAUGUGGAACAUUAAAGACCCAAACCAGAGCUCAAAUGGCAAUUGACAAAUGGGAAAUAUGUAAGCUACAUAGUACAACAGUGUAAGUUUUAUGCAUAUUCACCGCUUGACAGCUGAGUAUUUUGCUCAAGGAAAACUAAAAUUAACGGGUUUUGCCGAGGAUUUGGACAAAAGGCUUUCCAUUGCAUUUCUCUGGCCUCAUGAUUGUGAUCUCAUGUUGUGUUAGAAGCAUUGUGACUCCAUAGGCUUGUACACCGAAAAGGGUUAUUUUUUCUGCUUUUCACAUUCUGAAUUCAAUUUAUUUAUCAAUUUGCAGAAAAAAAAUGAAAAUGACAAUUAAUCAGUGCUCAAAUGGAUGGAAACCUAAAUGUACAACUCUUCACUAAUUUUUUUUUGUGAUUUCUGUUCUUAGCUCUUAUUGGGCCUAAAUUGCUAUGUAAGGAAAACUUGUUAGUGUGUGCCAAUUAAGCAGGAAACAAAAUAUGGCAAAAACUAGUCAAAAGCCAUAGAUUUCAUCAAUUCAAGCUUGCAGCAAAAGAUAUGAUAUCUCUGUGUGAGAGAAGUGAAGAAAAUAAGGUGUGUAAUCUGAAAGGGGGGGAAAUCACACACUUUUUCUGUGUAAAACUCGAAGGAAUUACACUGCUUCUAACACGACAUGACAUCAUGGUCUCGAGGCCGGUGAAAGCAUUACAAGAGAGUCUAUUUUCGAAGCCCGAUGAUUGGAGCUAUUAUUAAGCAAAAUACUCAGCUGUUAAGCGGUUUAAAUUCAUAAAGCUUGCAUUUCUGUAUUAAGUAAUUAUUAGCUUUCGAUUGGUACAUGAUUUGUCAGUUUCAUUUUUGGGUCUGGUCUGGGUCUUUAAACCCAUUUCUGAGGUCAUCACCUAUAAUAUCACUAGACUACACGCUGUCGGGACUGACGUUAUGGACUUUGAACUCGCCCUUAAAGUUGCUAUUAAAGUUGUUCCUGCUCUGUUUCAUCAAUUUGCAUACUGUGAGUGUACUGCUCCAGUGGUAAAAAUGCAAGGUAAGAAUUGGACCAGUCAGGGGGGGGGGUUCACAAAGAGUUGAGUGUUAAUUAUUAAAAUCAUUCUUGUCAAAAAGCAAUGUUUUUCAAUACACAGUCUUACACAGUAUUGUGUGUCACCUGAGCAUGAUCUGACCGAUGUGGUGAUGCAUUGUAUUCCAAACAUAACUGGGAAUUUAAGCAUAAUUUUGAGUCACACUUUUAAAAUGUCAUCCUGGAAUUGAAUUCUGUUCACAAUUAGCAGGAAAUGGCUGAAUACUGAAGUAAGAAUGUAUGAAUAAGUACUAAGUUUAGUUAUAAUGAAAUACAAUACGUUACAUCAGCCCAAUAUGACUGCAACAGUGGCCACAAUAUGGGAGGGGGGCAUCUGGGCAGCUUCACCCCUCUCCCCCUAACUUUUUUCAGUACCCUUGCACAAAAACAUGAAAAUGACCAUCAAACUUGUGAUUUUAAGCAUGUUCAGCCCCCCCCCUUUAAUACUGUUCCGCGGCCCCUGUACAAUAUAGAAUAUCCUGGCAUUGAAACUUCAAUUUUUAUAAGUAGACACUAUUGAGUCCUCAGUAUAUCACCCCUCAUGAUGUAAAAAAAGGUAGGUUUUAACAGGUAAAAUGCAGCCAAUGUAAUUUUCACCAAACUUUCCACAGAGUUAAAAAUAAUAUAGUUUCAUAUGAACAAUUUUUUUCUGUGGGACUUUGAAGCUUGCCAUUAUUAGAUUGCUGAAAAAUUGAUUAAAUCAACAGACGGAUGCAUCAGAUAAACCUCAAGAUAUCAACAAAUGAGUGUUUGAAAUUCCCAUUCUGUCUAAACCUCUGUACAUUUCAUUAAAAUUAACUUUGCAAUUGUGUAAUUUAUGUCAUUUUAUACCUUCUUGCAAAUUUCCUCUGCAAACUGCAACCGAGAUCUUAAGUGAUCUGUAAUACCCCUACUAGUG